AAAGGGCUGCAGUAUUUUGACUGUACAAAGGUAGCAUAAUCAAUAGUCUCUUAAUUAGUGACUUGUAUGAAAGAUUGGAUGAAAUAUAAACUGUCUCUAAUUUAUUAAAAGAAUUUAAUUUUUUAAUUAAAAAGUUAAAAUAAAUUUAAAAGACGAGAAGACCCUAUAGAGUUUUAUAAUUAUAUUAAUUAAAAUUAUUUGUUAGUUUUAUAAUUAAAAUUAAAAUAACUAUUUUAUUGGGGUGAUAGAAAAAUAAAAUUAACUUUUUUUAAUUAUUUAACAUUAAUAAGUGAUUAAUUGAUCCAAAAUUUUUGAUUAUAAGAAAAAAUUACCUUAGGGAUAACAGCGUAAUUUUUUUUUUUAGUUCUUAUGAAAAAAAGAGUUUGCGACCUCGAUGUUGGAUUAAGAUAAAAUUUAUAUGCAAAAGUAUAAAA
rnacentral:rRNA from 1 species